rnacentral:rRNA from 1 species
GGGUUGUGAGGUUAAGCGACUAAGCGUACACGGUGGAUGCCCUGGCAGUCAGAGGCGAUGAAGGACGUGCUAAUCUGCGAUAAGCGUCGGUGAGGUGAUAUGAACCGUUAUAACCGGCGAUUUCCGAAUGGGGAAACCCAGUGUGUUUCGACACACUAUCAUUAACUGAAUCCAUAGGUUAAUGAGGCGAACCGGGGGAACUGAAACAUCUAAGUACCCCGAGGAAAAGAAAUCAACCGAGAUUCCCCCAGUAGCGGCGAGCGAACGGGGAGGAGCCCAGAGCCUGAAUCAGUGUGUGUGUUAGUGGAAGCGUCUGGAAAGGCGCGCGAUACAGGGUGACAGCCCCGUACACAAAAAUGCACAUAUUGUGAGCUCGAUGAGUAGGGCGGGACACGUGGUAUCCUGUCUGAAUAUGGGGGGACCAUCCUCCAAGGCUAAAUACUCCUGACUGACCGAUAGUGAACCAGUACCGUGAGGGAAAGGCGAAAAGAACCCCGGCGAGGGGAGUGAAAAAGAACCUGAAACCGUGUACGUACAAGCAGUGGGAGCCUCUUAAUGGGGUGACUGCGUACCUUUUGUAUAAUGGGUCAGCGACUUAUAUUCUGUAGCAAGGUUAACCGAAUAGGGGAGCCGAAGGGAAACCGAGUCUUAACUGGGCGUUAAGUUGCAGGGUAUAGACCCGAAACCCGGUGAUCUAGCCAUGGGCAGGUUGAAGGUUGGGUAACACUAACUGGAGGACCGAACCGACUAAUGUUGAAAAAUUAGCGGAUGACUUGUGGCUGGGGGUGAAAGGCCAAUCAAACCGGGAGAUAGCUGGUUCUCCCCGAAAGCUAUUUAGGUAGCGCCUCGUGAAUUCAUCUCCGGGGGUAGAGCACUGUUUCGGCAAGGGGGUCAUCCCGACUUACCAACCCGAUGCAAACUGCGAAUACCGGAGAAUGUUAUCACGGGAGACACACGGCGGGUGCUAACGUCCGUCGUGAAGAGGGAAACAACCCAGACCGCCAGCUAAGGUCCCAAAGUCAUGGUUAAGUGGGAAACGAUGUGGGAAGGCCCAGACAGCCAGGAUGUUGGCUUAGAAGCAGCCAUCAUUUAAAGAAAGCGUAAUAGCUCACUGGUCGAGUCGGCCUGCGCGGAAGAUGUAACGGGGCUAAACCAUGCACCGAAGCUGCGGCAGCGACGCUUAUGCGUUGUUGGGUAGGGGAGCGUUCUGUAAGCCUGUGAAGGUGGCCUGUGAGGGUUGCUGGAGGUAUCAGAAGUGCGAAUGCUGACAUAAGUAACGAUAAAGCGGGUGAAAAGCCCGCUCGCCGGAAGACCAAGGGUUCCUGUCCAACGUUAAUCGGGGCAGGGUGAGUCGACCCCUAAGGCGAGGCCGAAAGGCGUAGUCGAUGGGAAACAGGUUAAUAUUCCUGUACUUGGUGUUACUGCGAAGGGGGGACGGAGAAGGCUAUGUUGGCCGGGCGACGGUUGUCCCGGUUUAAGCGUGUAGGCUGGUUUUCCAGGCAAAUCCGGAAAACCAAGGCUGAGGCGUGAUGACGAGGCACUACGGUGCUGAAGCGACAAAUGCCCUGCUUCCAGGAAAAGCCUCUAAGCAUCAGGUAACAUCAAAUCGUACCCCAAACCGACACAGGUGGUCAGGUAGAGAAUACCAAGGCGCUUGAGAGAACUCGGGUGAAGGAACUAGGCAAAAUGGUGCCGUAACUUCGGGAGAAGGCACGCUGAUAUGUAGGUGAAGCGACUUGCUCGUGGAGCUGAAAUCAGUCGAAGAUACCAGCUGGCUGCAACUGUUUAUUAAAAACACAGCACUGUGCAAACACGAAAGUGGACGUAUACGGUGUGACGCCUGCCCGGUGCCGGAAGGUUAAUUGAUGGGGUUAGCGGUAACGCGAAGCUCUUGAUCGAAGCCCCGGUAAACGGCGGCCGUAACUAUAACGGUCCUAAGGUAGCGAAAUUCCUUGUCGGGUAAGUUCCGACCUGCACGAAUGGCGUAAUGAUGGCCAGGCUGUCUCCACCCGAGACUCAGUGAAAUUGAACUCGCUGUGAAGAUGCAGUGUACCCGCGGCAAGACGGAAAGACCCCGUGAACCUUUACUAUAGCUUGACACUGAACAUUGAGCCUUGAUGUGUAGGAUAGGUGGGAGGCUUUGAAGUGUGGACGCCAGUCUGCAUGGAGCCGACCUUGAAAUACCACCCUUUAAUGUUUGAUGUUCUAACGUGGGCCCCUAAUCGGGGUUGCGGACAGUGUCUGGUGGGUAGUUUGACUGGGGCGGUCUCCUCCUAAAGAGUAACGGAGGAGCACGAAGGUUGGCUAAUCCUGGUCGGACAUCAGGAGGUUAGUGCAAUGGCAUAAGCCAGCUUGACUGCGAGCGUGACGGCGCGAGCAGGUGCGAAAGCAGGUCAUAGUGAUCCGGUGGUUCUGAAUGGAAGGGCCAUCGCUCAACGGAUAAAAGGUACUCCGGGGAUAACAGGCUGAUACCGCCCAAGAGUUCAUAUCGACGGCGGUGUUUGGCACCUCGAUGUCGGCUCAUCACAUCCUGGGGCUGAAGUAGGUCCCAAGGGUAUGGCUGUUCGCCAUUUAAAGUGGUACGCGAGCUGGGUUUAGAACGUCGUGAGACAGUUCGGUCCCUAUCUGCCGUGGGCGCUGGAGAACUGAGGGGGGCUGCUCCUAGUACGAGAGGACCGGAGUGGACGCAUCACUGGUGUUCGGGUUGUCAUGCCAAUGGCACUGCCCGGUAGCUAAAUGCGGAAGAGAUAAGUGCUGAAAGCAUCUAAGCACGAAACUUGCCCCGAGAUGAGUUCUCCCUGACUCCUUGAGAGUCCUGAAGGAACGUUGAAGACGACGACGUUGAUAGGCCGGGUGUGUAAGCGCAGCGAUGCGUUGAGCUAACCGGUACUAAUGAACCGUGAGGCUUAACCUUACAACGCCGAAG